GAUGAACGCUGGCGGCGUGCCUAAUACAUGCAAGUCGAGCGAACAGACGAGGAGCUUGCUCCUCUGACGUUAGCGGCGGACGGGUGAGUAACACGUGGAUAACCUACCUAUAAGACUGGGAUAACUUCGGGAAACCGGAGCUAAUACCGGAUAAUAUAUUGAACCGCAUGGUUCAAUAGUGAAGGAUGGUUUUGCUGUCACUUAUAGAUGGAUCCGCGCCGCAUUAGCUAGUUGGUAAGGUAACGGCUUACCAAGGCAACGAUGCGUAGCCGACCUGAGAGGGUGAUCGGCCACACUGGAACUGAGACACGGUCCAGACUCCUACGGGAGGCAGCAGUAGGGAAUCUUCCGCAAAGGGCGAAAGCCUGACGGAGCAACGCCGCGUGAGUGAUGAAGGUCUUCGGAUCGUAAAACUCUGUUAUUAGGGAAGAACAAAUGUGUAAGUAACUAUGCACGUCUUGACGGUACCUAAUCAGAAAGCCACGGCUAACUACGUG
rnacentral:rRNA from 1 species